rnacentral:tRNA from 1 species
AGGUAGAUGAUCUGAUUGGUAAUAGUGGUUGUCUGUAAAACAAUUGGUUUUAAACCGUACUUGGUUCGAUUCCAAGGCUACCUA